rnacentral:rRNA from 1 species
GACGAACGCUGGCGGCGUGCUUAACACAUGCAAGUCGAACGGAAAGGCCCUGCUUUUGUGGGGUGCUCGAGUGGCGAACGGGUGAGUAACACGUGAGUAACCUGCCCUUGACUUUGGGAUAACUUCAGGAAACUGGGGCUAAUACCGGAUAGGAGCUCCUGCUGCAUGGUGGGGGUUGGAAAGUUUCGGCGGUUGGGAAUGGACUCGCGGCUUAUCAGCUUGUUGGUGGGGUAGUGGCUUACCAAGGCUUUGACGGGUAGCCGGCCUGAGAGGGUGACCGGCCACAUUGGGACUGAGAUACGGCCCAGACUCCUACGGGAGGCAGCAGUGGGGAAUAUUACACAAUGGGCGGAAGCCUGAUGCAGCAACGCCGCGUGCGGGAUGACGGCCUUCGGGUUGUAAACCGCUUUCGCCUGUGACGAAGCGUGAGUGACGGUAAUGGGUAAAGAAGCACCGGCUAACUACGU